GUGGACAGGAAGGAUAUGCUAUCAUUUUGUGCCAAUUUGUAGACAGACAUGGAAGGGAGCAUUUUCUGAUGUAAAAAGGUUAAUGCCAACAAUGCAGGUGAAGGAAGGUAUAGAAGUUUGAUGAAGCAAAUGGAUGGAAAGAGUGAAAAAAAGAAAUUGGAGAGGAAGGUGAAAGAGAGAGCAAACUCCUAAAAGACGGCAUGUCACAGAUUUCUGACCAUGGGGUAUAAUUGUAAAUGUGCUGAGGACCAAGAGGACCUUUGGUUUUACAUAUGAAACAGACAGAUGUAGCUGAUGCUGCUACCCUUUCCUUCACUUUUUCCUGCCUUGAAUAUGGCUAUGAGGUCAGGAGUUUCAGCAGCCAUUUUAUGACCAUGAGAUGACAAGUGUGAGGAUUAAAAGCAACCCACUAACCAUGGAUAGAGGAAAAACAGAAUAAACCCGGGUCUCCAUUGGCAUCGGUGGACAGCUGAACGAAGUGCUCUGUGUACAGGACCCAGUGCAAUGGCCCCAAGACAGAAAUGAACUUGGCUUGUUCCAGAAGCAACAAAGGGACAGUUGGCUUGAAUGUGGUAAGGCACAGUGAAAGUGGAAGGAGAUGAUGUCUGAAAGGUAAGUGGAGACAGGAUGAGAUAAGGCUGGGUAGGCCACUGUAAUAAGUUAGGGUGUUGGCAUUAUAAUGAGUUAGGGUGUUACUCUACUUGGGAAGGAAAACAAUUGGAAAGUUUUCAAGAGGAAUGGAAGAUAAGAGCUAAUUUCCAUAUUUAAAAGAUCACUCUGCUGCUCUCUGGAAAAUUGAUCACAAGGGCCAGAGGAGAGGCAGGGAAAAGAUAGGGAGUAUAUUGCUGUAGUUCAGUCAAGAAGUCACUGUCAGAGGAGACUUGACCAGAAGCUUUACAGAGAGUAGUAGAGAACUGUUGGGAAUUGGGAUGUAUUUUGAAGUCAGAGUUGGUAGUUUUUACUGAUGGGUUGGGUGUGGAUAAAGAAAGAGCAGAAUCCCAAAUAAGUCUUAGAUUUUUGACUUCAGCAUUAACAAUGAAACUAGGUAAAUGGAAAACAUUAAGACUGAGUUGGAGGCAAACAAAUUUUUCCUCUCUUGGCUAUGUUAAAUUCCUCUCUUCUGCUCUAUUAGGUUCCAGCCUGACUUUCUCCUCUUUGCAUAGACUUAGUAACACCAUUCCCUUGAAAUAUCUCCCUCCCUCACCCUACCAAGAUGGUCAGCUCUUUUGUAUUAGAUUUGGGGGAAGUCUUGACCUCAUGGACUGACAUUGACAGGUAGCUCAUGGUGGCUGGCAGACAGGUGAGGGCAAGCAGCAGGGGUGUUUGAGAUAUUAAAGAGGACUGUAGGGUGUUAAAAUUUAAGGUAUUUUAAGGUUUAGGCUUGGAGGAUGGGAUUGCAAUGGAUAGACCUCUGGACAUCAAGAGAGGAGAAGUAGAUAUAUUUGACAACAAUCUGAGAUCAAAACAAGAAAUUUUCACCAUAAUAUUUUACAUGAGUUAGAGAUAUACUGUGUGGAAAGUCCUGUAUUCCUGCUCUACAAAGAAACAUAUUGUGUAGAGUCAGUCUGGUUGCCAGAUCAUUGAUCAAGAAAUCCACAUAAAAAUCUGAACUUUAAAAAUGCUCUGAGCUUUCAGAAGUUUGUGCCAAUUUAAUUAUUUCACUAAUAUUCUUUUAUGUUAGCAUCCAUAUAUCAGUAAGAAACCUUAUUUACAGAAUUCACCAGCAGGCUUUAAAUGGGAAGCAAUUAAAGGUUGAGCCCACUUACAGAAAUGGAACGUUCAUGUAACUUUUGAGGAUCACAUCCAUUACGUUAAAUAAAAUACAACUGUGUGAAGGGAGUUGUGUUGUUUCGUGAGGAAUUUUGGACCAAUAUUUCCUGAUUUGUUUAGAGAUUUGUGGAGGAGAAAUGAAUGGCAGUUGUCCUUCUCAUUCUCAGGGUUGAGUUGUCUUCCCAAGAAAAGAAUUUUGCAAAAAAUAUGCUUUUUAAAACCCAAAAUUGCCUUUUUCAUCUUGAAAAGGAAGCAUCAUAGGAGUUAAGAAAAUUUACCAUGGUUGAAAAUCUACUUCAUUUUCUUUGCAGAUUAUUUUGAAACUGCUUUAAGAAAUGCGUAUGUCCUCUCUAAAUACAUGGUGGAGAUGGUUCAUUGAGUGUUAUGAAAAGAAAGUUUAGUCUCAUUUCCUAAGCAGACUUUUUAACCUGACAGUGCUAAAUGGGGAAGAAUUCUUCGGGAUUAUGGUGUGUGUUUUGAAAGAGAUCCUGUAACAGCUGGUUAUUUUCAGUCAUGUUCCCACUGCAGGAAGAUACUGCUGUUGUAUGAAGUAGGCCGAUAGAACCUUGGUAUCCAUGCAACAUUAGAAAGAAAAAAAUUUCCUUUUAUUUAAAACAUUUUUUUAAUGUUUAUCUGUUUU